rnacentral:rRNA from 1 species
UACAGAGGUGGCAAGCGUUGUUCGGAAUUACUGGGCGUAAAGGGCGCGUAGGCGGCCUCUUAAGUCGAACGUGAAAUCCCCGGGCUCAACCCGGGAACUGCGUCCGAUACUGGGGGGCUUGAAUCCGGGAGAGGGAUGUGGAAUUCCAGGUGUAGCGGUGAAAUGCGUAGAUAUCUGGAGGAACACCGGUGGCGAAGGCGGCAUCCUGGACCGGUAUUGACGCUGAGGCGCGAAAGCCAGGGGAGCAAACGGG